rnacentral:lncRNA from 1 species
AUCAAGUGCUGUACUUUACUACAAAUAUUAACCGGCAACAAUUGACCCUCUCUGGGACUUUCCAUUUAGUUAUUUACUGGAAGCUGUUCUGUAAUUUUCAGCAGUGCUGUUAUCUAUGAGAUUACUUUUCUUUUAGCUGUGCUGGGUUUUCAGACGCAUUAAUAUAGCUUAAUAUCUCUUCCUGUUGCUUCUCUAAUUAAAAGCUUGUUGGAUUUCCAAAUAAGAAAUAACAUACACAAGCACUGGUAAUUCAGGCUGCUAAUAAUUGGGAGAAAAACUUCAGCAAGGAACAGCAUCAACCAGGCAUGAGGGAUCUUAUGAUCCGGCAAAGAAAGAGGCCUAGGAGUCUGGGGAGGAUUGCAGGGCAGUGAUCUGGCUCUGAGCAGCUGGCCUCCCUGAGAGGGGCUGCUGCCGAUGAAGGACCGCCAACAGACAGCCUGAGUAUAGUGCAUGUGCCCUGUCCCAAGAUGGAUGUUUGAAUCCUGGAUCCAAGAGAAGAGCUCAUGUCUGUUUUUCCAAUCACUGCUUGUAUCCUUUCCUGCUUCCCCAAGUCCCUCAUUCCUCUCCUCCCGGCGGCUUUUGCCCUCUUUGGUCCAGGCCGCAGGAAACCGUUCCUCUAGUUCUAACAAUCGGCCACUAGAUGGCACUAGAUGUUCGGAUUAAAGUGCCUUCCUGAGCUCCACGGGCCCAGGGCGAGGGCAGGCAGGGUCUGAAGACAGCUUCUCUCGGCCACCGUCAUUCUCUCUCCCACUUCGCUCUUCACUUCUCAUCCCUUCCUCAUCCCAUUUAAACAUUAGAUUCCUUCCAGCAGCGGUGUUUGCGUGAUUUCAAAGGUAAGGACACAGAAGCCCAGGGAAUAUAAGUAACCUCCCAAAAAUCGCACAGCAGCUUGAGAAAAUCCUGAAGAUGGAUUCUGUUGGAACCAUGUUGGCUUAUCUGUCAUCUCUGGACUAAUCAAUGGGGACAGCAGGAUAAGAUCCAACUAGCACAAUGUCAAUGAUGAAAUGGACCAGUGUCAUAUUCUGCGGGAUAUCAAGGCAAUCAAGAUCAUCUUGGACUGUAUUGUGACAGAGGGCCAGGGAGUGAACAGAGCCCUUAUAAGGUUAUUGGAGUACAGGUGGUAUUUGGUUACGUGGGACAGAUCUCAUAUAUCGCAGCAACAAAGAUGGCCCCCAGGAGUUCCAUGGACCCUUAUUUCUCAUCAUUUAGAAGGAGAAAGCACCUCUUUCCUCAGUUCCUCUCUUCAGGACUCCCAGUACCCCUGCUUCUGGUGACAGCCCAUGGCAGGUGGGGAGGACGUGCAGAUGGAAAGAAUGAGAAGGGCAGGUUACUGGUAGACUGAAAAUAUUUUGGAUACAUCUGAAAAAUAUUUCCUUUUCCUUGCAAAAUGGCAAACCUCUCUUUUAAGCCUAUGGAAAGGACAUUUAAAUGAAAGAAUUCAAUAAGUGUUUAGUUUUAUGGAGCUCUUACUACUUUGGGCCCACAAUUAAAUCACAGGUUUGGGCCCUCAUGGGUGACAGAAAAGUACCAGAGUUCUGGUUCCUCUUUGAACACACAUGUUCUCUGGGUUUCGCCUUGCAGCCCAAGAAGAGAGGAGGCUUGGAAUCACCACACUUCCCACAGCAAGGGCAAUCUUUAAAGGCAGUAAGGUGUGACGCUCCAGACUGGCAGCUUGGCAAGACAGAGCCCAUGGAUACCAGCACACGGGAAUCUGGACGGCUCACUCUGACAGCAGUCAGCACUGGGAACAAAAGGAAUGGAGGGAAAAAAGCGCAAAUGUAUUUUUACAUAUUGUAGGCAUAUGGCCACAAGACCAGCAGAAAUAUAUUUAAUUACCAAUUGCACGCAUUGAGGAGAAAAACACUGGAAAUGGGGGAAAAACUGUAUACACAGCAAUAUUAUUCUAAUUUAACUUUUCACCUCAGUUUUUUUUUUCUUUCUUUAAUUGAAAAUGGAAGGGAAUGUGGGUUGGAAUCGCAAAGGGUUAUCUUCUGGAAUUCUAUCAAAGGUGAUGUGGGAUUUUGACAUGCCUUCUUUAACAGCAUAACAUUAUAGAAAGAAAUAGGAAAGUUUUCUUUUAGUUAUUUUAAUUAUGAAAUAAUUUGACCAAGGCGUUUUGGGGGAGUGGGGCAGACCGGAUUUGAAAUAUAACAGUUAGACAAUCUUACUGUCAUGUUAAAACUGUACUUUUGAUGUUACACAUUAGGCCUCAACAAUUAAUAACCUAAUCUUGAAAAAUUAUAUUCUUGUUCUUUUCUAUGAAAGCAGAAUACUUCAACCCCAUUUAUUGUCAGGUAUUGUCCUAGCCAGUGGAGGUACAGAGGUGAAUCAGAUGUCAUCCCUGCACUGAAGAAGCAUAGCCUAGGCUGGGAGACAAAUACACAUAUAUAUAAUUAUAAUGUUAUACCAUUAAAUUAUUAAAUAUGUGAAAAUUAUCAUUAGCUAAAAUCACAAUUAUAAUACACAUAAUACCAUCUAUAUAAGGCAAUGAUGUAGCUAUAUGAAUCCAGGGGCCAUAGAGGAUUGACUCUUAGUUCAGUCUGGGUGUCAGUCACACUGGAGGACCAGGGAGGAGACCUCUUCCAGGAAAAGCUGAUGAAAAGGAUCAGUGAGAAAAAGCCCGGGAAGAAGGCAGUUGCAUUUUGCAGAAUGAAGGAGUUUGGGCCAGUGUGAGCCAGCUCCCUUCCUAGGGUGCCGGCUCAGGGAGUCAGGUAAUGGGGCCAGGGAAACGUGUGCCCACUGACUUGGGAAAGAGAGAGGGGCCCAUACCUCCUUCUUGGCAGGAAAGAAAAUCACAGCCCCGAAAAAGUAACUUGCCAGGAGCCCCCUUCUUUGUAGCAUUCCUAUCACUGACUUCCUGUUAGCCUGGGUCUCCUGUUCUCACCCUGCUCUUUGAAAUCCUUGGUGGCCAGUGCCGGCUAUGUAGGUGACCUGUGCUCCCUGGUCCCAUGGAGGUUCUGCCCAGCUGACCAGCCUUGCAGUCUGUUUCUGCAGCCCAGAUAAUGGUUCAGAGGCAUGUUAAUGUGUGCUUUGCUUUAUGUAGCAAAUAUCAUCUUGAAAAGUUUUUUUGUACAUUUACUUUUUUUUUGUAAAGCGACCUACAUAAUAAAAGCACUAGGGGAGCUGGUUAUUUAAAGGAACCCUGUAGUGA